rnacentral:rRNA from 1 species
AGAGUUUGAUCCUGGCUCAGAGCGAACGCUGGCGGCAGGCUUAACACAUGCAAGUCGAACGGGCGUAGCAAUACGUCAGUGGCAGACGGGUGAGUAACACGUGGGAACGUACCUCUUGGAUCGAAACAACACAGGGAAACUUGUGCUAAUACCGGAUAAGCCCUUACAGGGAAAGAUUUAUCGCCAAGAGAUCGGCCCGCGUCUGAUUAGCUAGUUGGUAGGGUAAUGGCCUACCAAGGCGACUAUCAGUAGCUGGUCUGAGAGGAUGAUCAGCCACAUUGGGACUGAGACACGGGCCAAACUCCUACGGGAGGCAGCAGAGGGGAAUAUUGGACAAUGGGGGCAACCCUGAUCCAGACAUGCCGCGUGAGUGAUGAAGGCCCUAGGGUUGUAAAGCUCUUUUGUGCGGGAAGAUAAUGACGGUACCACAAGAAUAAGCCCCGGCUAACUUCAUGCCGGCAGCCGCGGCAAUACCAAUGGGGCUAACGUUGCUCGCAAUCACUGGGCGUAAAGGGUGCGUAGGCGGGUCUUUAAGUCACGCGUGAAAUCCUGAAGCUCAACUCCUCAACUGCCUAUGAUACU